rnacentral:rRNA from 1 species
GACGUAGGGGGCCAGCGUUGUUCGGAAUUACUGGGUGUAAAGGGUUCGUAGGCGGUGCGGCAAGUUGGGAGUGAAAUCUCUGGGCUUAACCCAGAGGCUGCUUCCAAAACUGCCGUGCUCGAGGAAGAUAGAGGUAAGCGGAACUUACGGUGGAGCGGUGAAAUGCGUAGAUAUUGGGAGGAACACCAGUGGCGAAGGCGGCUCACUGGACUGGUACUGACGCUGAGGUGCGAAAGCGUGGGGAGCAAACAGGG